rnacentral:rRNA from 1 species
GACGAACGCUGGCGGCGUGCCUAAUACAUGCAAGUAGAACGCUGAAGAGAGGAGCUUGCUCUUCUUGGAUGAGUUGCGAACGGGUGAGUAACGCGUAGGUAACCUGCCUGGUAGCGGGGGAUAACUAUUGGAAACGAUAGCUAAUACCGCAUAACAACAGUUGUUGCAUGACAGCUGUUUAAAAGAUGCAAUUGCAUCACUACCAGAUGGACCUGCGUUGUAUUAGCUAGUUGGUGAGGUAACGGCUCACCAAGGCGACGAUACAUAGCCGACCUGAGAGGGUGAUCGGCCACACUGGGACUGAGACACGGCCCAGACUCCUACGGGAGGCAGCAGUAGGGAAUCUUCGGCAAUGGGGGGAACCCUGACCGAGCAACGCCGCGUGAGUGAAGAAGGUUUUCGGAUCGUAAAGCUCGGUUGUAAGAGAAGAACGGGUGUGAGAGUGGAAAGUUCACACUGUGACGGUAUCUUACCAGAAAGGGACGGCUAACUACGUG